GGGGAUUUAGCUCAGUGGUUAGAGCGCUUGCCUAGCAAGCGCAAGGCCCUGGGUUCAGUCCCCA
rfam:Rattus norvegicus chromosome 15, whole genome shotgun sequence.